UGGGGAAUAUUGGACAAUGGGGGCAACCCUGAUCCAGCAAUGCCGCGUGUGUGAAGAAGGUCUUCGGAUUGUAAAGCACUUUCGACGGGGACGACGAUGACGGUACCCGUAGAAGAAGCCCCGGCUAACUUCGUGCCAGCAGCCGCGGUAAUACGAAGGGGGCUAGCGUUGCUCGGAAUGACUGGGCGUAAAGGGCGUGUAGGCGGUUUACACAGUCAGAUGUGAAAUCCCCGGGCUUAACCUGGGAGCUGCAUUUGAUACGUGUAGACUAGAGUGUGAGAGAGGGUUGUGGAAUUCCCAGUGUAGAGGUGAAAUUCGUAGAUAUUGGGAAGAACACCGGUGGCGAAGGCGGCAACCUGGCUCAUGACUGAC
rnacentral:rRNA from 1 species